rnacentral:rRNA from 1 species
GGUGAACGCUGGCGGCGUGCCUAACACAUGCAAGUCGAGCGGUGCAGUUUGAAGCUUCGGUGGAAAGCUGCAUAGCGGCGGACGGGUGAGGAAAACGUAGUAACCAACCCUUUAGACUGGGAUAGCCACUGGAAACGGUGGGUAAUACCGGAUAAGCUCGAGAGAGGAAAGGCAGAGAAGCGCUAAAGGACGGAACCUGCGCCCCAUCAGAUAGUUGGUGAGGUAAAGGCUUACCAAGUCAAAGACGGGAAACCGACGUGAGAGCGUGUACGGUCACAAGGGCACUGAGAGACGGGCCCUACUCCUACGGGAGGCAGCAGUGGGGAAUAUUGGACAAUGGACGAAAGUCUGAUCCAGCGACGCCGCGUGGAGGAAGAAGUCCUUCGGGAUGUAAACUCAUGAAGCUAACGAAUAAGACGGAAGGGGAACCUUCCGGGAGAAGGUAAUUAGUGAAAAGCCCCGGCUAACUACGUGCCAGCAGCCGCGGUAACUAGUCUACG